rnacentral:tRNA from 8 species
GCGUUCGUAGCUCAGCUGGAUAGAGCGACGGACUUCGAAUCCGUAGGCCGCAGGUUCGAGUCCUGCCGGACGCA